CUUGAAACACGGACCAAGGAGUUUAUCGUGUACGCAAGUCAUUGGGUGAAUAAAACCCAAAGGCGAAAUGAAAGUAAAGAGUUGAGUUUAUAAUUGAGAAUUUAUUCUCUUUUAUUUCUCUCUUUAGGGAAGAUGAAAAUUUAAUUUAUAAUUUAAUUUAUUAGAUUAUUUAUUAAAAUUUUUCGCAUUCCCAGGGCGCUUGUUUCACGCUUUGCGUGUCGAUGCGCACCCAGAGCGUACACGCUGAUACCCGAAAGAUGGUGAACUAUGCCUGGCCAGGACGAAGCCAGGGGAAACCCUGGUGGAGGUCCGCAGCGAUUCUGACGUGCAAAUCGAUCGUCGGAGCUGGGUAUAGGGGCGAAAGACCAAUCGAACCAUCUAGUAGCUGGUUCCCUCUGAAGUUUCCCUCAGGAUA
rnacentral:rRNA from 1 species